rnacentral:rRNA from 1 species
GAUCAUGGCUCAUGAUGAAUGCUAGCUACAGGCUUAACACAUGCAAGUCGAGGGGCAGCGGGAUUGAAGCUUGCUUCAAUUGCCGGCGACCGGCGCACGGGUGAGUAACGCGUAUCCAACCUUCCGUACACUCAGGGAUAGCCUUUCGAAAGAAAGAUUAAUACCUGAUGGUAUGAUGAGAUUGCAUGAUAGCAUCAUUAAAGAUUUAUCGGUGUACGA